rnacentral:rRNA from 1 species
UACGGGGGGGGCAAGCGUUGUUCGGAAUUACUGGGCGUAAAGGGCUCGUAGGUGGCCAACUAAGUCAGACGUGAAAUCCCUCGGCUUAACCGAGGAACUGCGUCCGAGACUGAAAGGCUUGAAUCCGGGAGAGGGAUGUGGAAUUCCAGGUGUAGCGGUGAAAUGCGUAGAUAUCAGGAGGAACACCGAUGGCGAAGGCAGGUCUCUGGGCAUUAACUGACGCUGAGGAGCGAAAGCAUGGGGAGCGAACAGG